rnacentral:lncRNA from 1 species
CGAAAAGGCGGUGCUUAAACCGGAGGAGGCGGAAGUGAGUCGACAGACGAGGCGGCUUUCCCGGCAGAAUGCUAGCGCAGGCGCAGGGGCUCGAGAGGCCUGGACCUGUGGCGCAUCCUCAGUGAGGAGGGCCGCCCUGCAUCCGUCGCCGGCCCCGGUCUCCAGGGGCCUCACCCGAGUCAUGCCCCGCUAUUGCGCAGCGAUUUGUUGUAAGAACCGCCGGGGACGAAACAAUAAAGACCGGAAGCUGAGUUUUUAUCCAUUUCCUCUACAUGACAAAGAAAGACUGGAAAAGUGGUUAAAGAAUAUGAAGCGAGAUUCAUGGGUUCCCAGGAAAAGACCCUUCUAAAAAAAAAUCCCAGAAGAAAAACUUGGAAGAUGAGAAAGAAGUAUGCCCAAAAGCCAAGUCAGAAGAAUCAUUUGUAUUAAAUGAGACAAAGAAAAAUAUAGUUAACACAGAUGUGCCCCAUCAACAUCCAGAAUUACUUCAUUCAUCUUCCUUGGUAAAGCCACCAGCUCCCAAAACAGGAAGUAUACAAAAUAACAUGUUAACUCUUAAUCUAGUUAAACAACAUACUGGGAAACCAGAAUCUACCUUGGAAACAUCAGUUAACCAAGAUACAGGUAGAGGUGGUUUUCACACAUGUUUUGAGAAUCUAAAUUCUACAACUAUUACUUUGACAACUUCAAAUUCAGAAAGUAUUCAUCAAUCUUUGGAAACUCAAGAAGUUCUUGAAGUAACUACCAGUCAUCUUGCUAAUCCAAACUUUACAAGUAAUUCCAUGGAAAUAAAGUCAGCACAGGAAAAUCCAUUCUUAUUCAGCACAAUUAAUCAAACAGUUGAAGAAUUAAACACAAAUAAAGAAUC